CGCGUCGCUGCCCUGAAUUUUUCUGGUGUUAUCAACAAAUCUUAAAUUGUGAGAUACUACUUUCUGGAGUACAAUAAUGCCAUGACUCAGAAGAUGAAUCAGACAACAUGAGGAAAUCCCAGACUUUGAUACUGUUCAAAACGUUCAGGCAAAAUCUAAGCAUUUCAUUGCAGUGCCAAUGGUAAAAAGAAAACGCUGGUCCUAUUGUAUAAAACAGCUGUCCACGGAUUACAUUUACAAGAAAAGGACAACCAUGGCAGUUAUGAUAGCGACAAUGAAAGAUGCAUAGAUUAUUGGAGUAUUGAACGCAUUGAGUGUGAAUGGUAGCGAAAAGAUGCAUUGUAAACAAGGUCAACAGACGAAACGCUAACAACAAAGAAUUUUGUAUGUAAUCAGAGGAUACAUACUUUUUUCAGUCUGCUGCAAAACAUUCCUACAUGUAUACGGGUUGAAACCUGAAGGAUCUGGAGAAGGUCUGUAUGGAGGAGUGGGCCAAAAUCCCUGCUGCAGUGUGUGCAAACCUGGUCAAGAACUACAGGAAAUUAUUCUGUCACUCACAGUUGAAGAGUACCUAUGAUAAACAUUACAGACUUCUACAUCCUUUGUCACCUGAUGUCAUCCUACGGUUGCUGAGUGACAUUCAAAUGAGUUGACAGUCAUCUCGGUCAGUGGACAGUCGUUUUCGCCCUCUGCCAGUCUGUAGCUUUGUUGUCCCAAAUGUCUGUUGCUUGACCUUGUUCUUAUAAAUCACCGUCUUUGAAAUGUUUAGGAUGGAAACAACUUGACGCUCACUGUAUCCCUCUGCCAAUAAACCCAGA
ensembl:lncRNA